GUUCUGUCUUCGGCCGAGGGGGGAUUCUGCCUACACGGUAUGAGUCUCGUUCCCUUUGGGUGUGCGGUGUCAAAGCCGUGCACUCUUAACGGUCGGACAAGUCCGUCGGAGUGUGGUUAUUGUUGGAAGGGCAACCGACCAAUGAGGCCACCGUAAUCGUUCGGGGUGCCUUUAAUCGGGUGUCUCGGGCGGCCGACAUAGUUUACUUUGAACAAAUUAGAGUGCUCAAAGCAGGUGACUACCGCCUGAAUAGUACAGCAUGGAAUGAUGAAAGAGGACCUCGGUCUGAUUUUGCUGGCCUUUAACGGUCGGGCUUCGGCCCGGCCUAUGCAGACCCGAGGUAAUGGUCAAUAGAGACGGACGGGGGCAUCCGUACUGCGGCGACAGAGGUGAAAUUCUUGGACCGCCGCAAGACGAACGACAGCGAAGGCAUUUGCCGAGAAUGUUUUCCUUGAUCAAGAACGAAAGUUAGAGGUUCGAAGGCGAUCAGAUACCGCCCUAGUUCUAACCAUAAACGAUGCCAACUAGCGAUCCGCCGGUGUUACUCCCAUGACUCGGCGGGCAGCUUCCGGGAAACCAAAGUCUUUGGGUUCCGGGGGAAGUAUGGUUGCAAAGCUGAAACUUAAAGGAAUUGACGGAAGGGCACCACCAGGAGUGGAGCCUGCGGCUUAAUUUGACCCAACACGGGAAACCUCACCAGGCCCGGACACUGGAGGGAUUGACAGAUUGAGAGCUCUUUCUUGAUUCGGUGGGUGGUGGUGCAUGGCCGUUCUUAGUUGGUGGAGCGAUUUGUCUGGUUAAUUCCGAUAACGAACGAGGCUCUAGCCUGCUAAAUAGGUGCCGGGUUUUUACAUCUCCUCGCAAGGGGAGAGUGGAGUGUGUGGUUGUCGGGAUCCUGGGCUGUGGUGGUCGUUUAGGCUGCGGGGGGCAACUCUCGUGGUCUGGGCGGCUGUCAUAGUUCACCCGGUGUACGCACACUUCGCGUCCGGCAUUUUUCUUCUUAGAGGGACAAGCGGCGUCCAGCCGCGUGACAGUGAGCAAUAACAGGUCUGUGAUGCCCUUAGAUGUCCUGGGCCGCACGCGCGCUACACUGAAGGAAUCAGCGUGUUAUUCAUCCCUGUCUGAAAAGACCGGGCAACCGCUGAACCUCCUUCGUGGUUGGGAUUGGGGACUGCAAUGAUCCCCAUGAACCAGGAAUCCCUAGUAGGCGCGGGUCACUAGCCCGCGUCGAUUACGUCCCUGCCCUUUGUACACACCGCCCGUCGCUACUACCGAUUGAAUGAUUUAGUGGGAACUUCAGACGGCUAUGUUUGUCCGGGGCAACCCGCGUCGAGCAGGGCUGAAAGAUGUUCAAACUUGAUCCUUUAGAGGAAGUAAAAGUCGUAACAAGGUU
rnacentral:rRNA from 1 species